GUAGGUGGCAAGCGUUGUCCGGAAUUAUUGGGCGUAAAGCGCGCGCAGGCGGUUCUUUAAGUCUGAUGUGAAAGCCCACGGCUCAACCGUGGAGGGUCAUUGGAAACUGGAGAACUUGAGUACAGAAGAGGAAAGCGGGAUUCCACGUGUAGCGGUGAAAUGCGUAGAGAUGUGGAGGAACACCAGUGGCGAAGGCGGCUUUCUGGUCUGUAACUGACGCUGAGGCGCGAAAGCGUGGGGAGCAAACAGGAUUAGAUACCCUGGUAGUCCACGCCGUAAACGAUGAGUGCUAAGUGUUAGGGGGGUUUUCCGCCCCCCUUAGUGCUGCAGCUAACGCAUUAAGCACUCCGCCUGGGAGUACGGCCGCAAGGCUG
rnacentral:rRNA from 1 species